UGGAAGAGUGUCUUUAAUUGCAGACAAUAAUGUUGAGAUUCUGAAAAAAAUUGAAUCCAAUUACUACUCUUUUGGCCACAUUGGUGGAAAAUAUAGAUCUAAAUAUUGAGCAAACACAGAAAAAUAGUGCCCAAAUUGAAUAUUUUAGUUAGUAAUAAAAAUUUAAAAAUAUAAAAUCUAAGACAAAACAAUUAAAAAUGUUUUUAAUUUUUAAAUUCAAAGUUAAAUUAACUAUUGAUUUAUUAUGUAUACAAUCAAUUGAAUAAAAAUAUAAUAUCUAAGUAUUAUAAUAAAUAAAUAAUACUAAAUGACAUUAGAUUUAUACGGAUAGAGAAAAUAAUAAUAAAUAUAAAAAUAAUACUAAAUAGAGAAGAGAUGAAAAAAAAACGUAGAAUUUUAAUAGAGAUAAUAAAACUAAUGCUUAUAUAUUUUGGAUAAAUAAAUGACAUUAGAUUUAUAUGAAUGGAGAAAAUAAUAAUAAUAAUAAUAAUAUAACUUUAUGAGGAUAAAUCUUAUAAAAAAUAAAAAAAUAGGAGGAAUGUAGAAUAAAAGCACGCACAAAUACAAAAAUCAUCAUACGUGGUUUUAUAAAAAUUUGUUUUUUAUUUUAAAAAACAGUUUCUUAAAAAGUAAAGAAACAAGUUUUGUUUAUUUUUUAAACAAAUAAGUUUUCAUUAAAAGGGCUAUAGGAAAUUUCAUUAUUUCCCGCUAUUCCCAUGUUUAUAUAAUAUAGAUUUUCAAGAUUUUUGUAAAAAGUGGCUUUUUGAAAAGAGAUUAAUUAGAAAGUAAUAGUUCACACGACCAAUAUUUUGUAAUAUUUUCAAAUAUUUUAUAAAAAAUGUAUGUCUUUUAUAAAAGGAUUGUUUGCCAAAUAAUUGGUAUGAUAAUUAAUAUUUUGUAAAGUUUUCUAACUUUUGGUAAAAAAUAGCUUUUUUUUUUUAAAAAAAAAAAUUCAAGUAAGAUUAAGAAAAAUGUUACUUGAAUCUAGUUCAAGUCAUGAUAACAAGCACGAUGAUAAAAGAUUGUCCUCCACCAAUCAUUUGGAUAGAGCACCAUAAUAAUUAUUCAAUAGGGCUUUGGAAAGGAUUCCAUUGGCUACGGUUCAAUAAUUGUUUUUCUCGUGGGUCCAAUGUGUAAAUUAUUUAUAAAAAUUUUUACUUCAACUUAUUAAACACUUCAAUUUAUAAAAAUUAUAUUAAUUAAAUACUUCAACUUGUAAAAAUUAUUCUAUUGAAAACUCUAAUUUAUAAAAUUAGAUUAAUUAAAUUCUUAUUGAAUAAUUAAAAGAUGUUAAAAUUAUUAUUGCAAAAAUUAUAUUAACCACAUCAAGUAAAUAUUUACUUGUAAAUACAAAAAACACACACACAAAGAAAAAAAAAACUAUCACUACUAAUAUUAAGAGGGGUAGAAUGUUAUUAAAAAAUUAUAACAUUUAUAUGAAGGGUCACUGUUUCUUUUGAGAAAAGAUGGCGGUUGAAGAAAGUGGUGGUGAUAGUGUUGGGUGAUAGUUUGGAUUGGGUUCCAUAAUUAUUUUCUCCAGCACAAUGCAUAAAUUUAUCUCUGUAUUUUUAAGUAAAUAAUAUUGUAGCACUUUUAAUUUUUAUUUUGACAUAUUAAAUACAUCAAUUCAUAAAAUUGUACUAAUAAACUACUUCAGUUUGUGAAAAUUAUUCUAUUGCAAAAUCGAAUUUGUAAAGUUGAAUUUAUUAAACAUUUACUGGAUAGUUAAAACACGUGAAAAUUAUUAUUUCAAAGAUUGUGUUAACCACACAUCAAGUAAAAAUUUUACACAUAAAUACCAAAAACAUCCAAAAAUUAAUAUUACUAGUAUGGAAGGGAAUAAGAUAUUAUCAAAAUUGGUAAAUGAAAAUGAUUUAUAUAUAUGGCUUCUUGUAAAUGAAAAUGAUUUAUUUUCUUAAAAAAAUAGUAUAAAUUUAAAUAUUUUGAACUAAUGUUUGAUGACUUUAAGUGAUUAUUUAGCCUAUUACUUAAUUUGUAUACAAAAGUAAAAUGCAUAUGUGCUCAUAUUCUUAUGAGAUGCAUCAAUUUUUUAAUUAUUAUUUAAGAUGAAUUAGUCCACUAAAACAAUCUCUAACUGUAAUUUUGAAAAUUUAUUUUUCACUGUCAAAGGAGACUUUAAUUACGUUUAUUUGCACUAAUUAUAAUUAUUAGAUGUACAUUGUCAAUAAUUAUAUAAGUACCUGUCUAUAGAAAUGCACUAAUUAUAAUUAUUAGAUGUACAUAGUCAAUAAUUAUAUAAAUAUCUGUCUAUAGAAAUUAAGGGUAAAUAAAGAAAAAUGGAAUCAAAAUGUAACUUAUGGAUGAGAUUUGCCUACUUGGUGUAUAGUACAACCUAUAUAUCAAAUUUUAAAAAAAAUUUUAAUUAUUAUUAUUUUAUCUUUUUUCUCGUGAAUGAUUAAAAAUACCUAUAUUAAAAAAAUUAUUUUCGAUUUAUUUAGAGCCUAUUUGGACAAAUGAAUUCCAUAAAAUUUUGUGAAAUUCGUUUAGAAAUCCAAAAUAUUGUGUUAGGAAUGAAAAAAAAAUACAAAUUUGGAUUCUACGAAUUGAAUUCUAUGGAAUUGGGUAUGCCUAACUCAAAUUCUACUAAAAUUGAUAGAAUUUGUACAUAAAUUCCAAAAAAUUUAACCACUAAAAUUUUAUUGACAAAAUUACCCUCAACUAUAAACUCAGCUAUUUUUACUUUUUUUUUUCUUUAUUUUAAAUUAUAGCAUACCAAAUAUGACAAAUUCAUUUGCAAAUGAAUUCUACUUAUAAAUGAAUUCUACUUGGAUUCAUUUGUUCUAAACGGACCGUUAAUGUAUAAGUGGAGUUUACAAAACAUGUGUAGAUAAGUUCUCACAUAUUAUUACAAAUGUGUCCCGCCCAUAAGUGAACCACUGUAAAUUUAAAAUGUGUCCCCAAUAAUUUGAAAUGGGUCCCACUUAAGCAAGUGGGUGCAUGUCUAUAAAAACCCACUUAAGCAACACUUGAAGCACCACACUACUCUUUACAUUCUUUCGUCUUCAUAUUUCAAAAGCUCUCUAAUAUUAAGCGAUGGCUGUGUCUCCAAUCCAGUCGGUGCUUGGGAUGUUGGGUGUUAUGUCCACGGCACAGCGUCAAACUGGGUUGAAUAUCAGCUCAUUUUACCCACCUGUUGCACAACUUCUUGGCACCGUAUUGUUGGGUUAAGUCCUUUACCGCUUCUGGAUGAAGACUGAAGCUUGUGUUUGUGUUAUCCUUUUAAGUAAUGUUAAUAAGCAUGGCUUUGACUGAUCCACCAUCUCCACUGGAGUGUGUGUGUGAAUCUCAAUGCUAUGAGCAAAUAAAUUCUGUCUUUAUGUACUUCUAUUUUAUGUGUUUUUAAUAAAUCAGUCUUUCCAGUGCGGUCAAACAGUUAUCAAAUAUCUUUGCUUAAAAAUAUUUGAACAAAUAAUUUGUUUCCUCAACAAAAUAUUUGAAAUAUAUAUUAAUAUAUGUUUUAAUUCAAGACUUAAAAAUAUGUUGCCUAAAUACUUUAUAUUUGAAACAAUCGAAUUAAUCUUUAACAAGACACGAAACAUAAACUCCAAAAAAGAAGAGAAAGUGUAUGUAAUGAAUGAUGUUGCAGACUGAAUAGCAUUUCCUGUUUCCAAUGUGACUGGGUAGUCACAACAUGAUAAAAGGUUUUUUAGAUCAGUUGUGGUUUUAGGUUAGUUGAAUUUAUAAAAUAAUUGAUGCAUUUAUCUAUAAUUUGUAAUGUUUUUUAACAAUUAUGUAAAACAUGGUUCUUUCUUAUGAAAUUGCCAAAUUACUAAAUAAUAGUUUCAGUACCAACAUUUUAUAACAAGUCCUAAACAUUAUAAAAGUGGUUAUUUUUUAAAAAAAAAGUUAGCUAUGGACUUUGGUUGUUAACAUUUUCCAAUGUUUUCUAUUUUUUAAAAAAUUAUUAGAUUAGAGAAUAAUAGCUCCAAUUGCCUAUAUUUUUGUUAAAAGUAGUUAUUUUUUGUAAAAGGAUUAUCCACAUAUUAAGAGUUCAUAUUAUCAAUAUUUUUGUAAUAUUAUCAAAGAUCUUGUAAAAAAUGCUUUUUUUAAAGAGUUGUUUUAGAAUAAUAGUUCUGAUUACUAAUAUUUUGUAAAAUUUUCUAAUCUUUUUGUAAAAUAUAUAUAUAUAUAUUUUUGUAAAUUUAGGUAAAAGUAAGUAAAUUGUUAAAUUUAUCCCGACUCAUGCGUUGAUAAAAGGUUGUCCUCCAUCCAUAUUUUGGAUGGGGUUUUAGAUAGGGUUCCAUGAUUUAGAUAAGGUUCCAUAAUUUUUUUUUUUUUUUGCAAUACAAUGUAUAAAUUUAUCUCCGUAUUUAUAUGUAAAAAAUAUGGUAACACUUUUAACUUUUACUAGUAUUAGAACUCACGUAAUGUGGGAGCAAUAUUAGAUGAAAAAAUAAUUUUUUAUAAAAUCAUUCAAAAAUAACAAAAUUGUAUAAUAAAAUAAUCGUGAAAUGUAUUAUAAAAUUGUAUCUCAUUGAGAUAUGUUAAAAGAAGUUAAAAUGCUAAGAUGUGUCUUCUUAAGUAUCCUGCGAAGCUUUUUACUAAAGUACGCAAUAAGAAAAACCAUGCAUGGUAUGAUUUAGGGGUGUCAAAAUGGGUUGGCGUGUCAAGUUUCGACACGGAUUCGCCUAACACGCAACAUAAUUACGGUCAACAUGAAUACUAUCAAUUUAAUAAUUGUUUUAAAUUUAUCAACAUGAACACGAUACGAAAAUUAGACAAGUGAUAGGAACACGAUAAAUUUAAUCAACUAAUAUCAUAAACAAGUUAAGUAGAUCGUGUUGACCCAUAUACAACCCUUGUAAUCCGCUUAAUAUCAUAAACAUGUUAAGUGAGUCGUGUUGAUCCGUGUGCAAUCCACUUAACCUGUUUAUAAUAUUUUUAAAUUUUAACCUAUUUAACUCCAAUUAUAUUUAAAAAUAAAUUUUCAUACAUAAAAUGCAUAAAUUCUUCAAGAUUCAUAAUUAAAAUAAAAAAGUAACAGAACAAUUAAAUUUAAAUAGGUUUUAAUUGGAGUAUUUAUACUUAACACCAAAAUUACCUCUUUACUCUUAAACAAACAGGUAACUUGCUUAACCCGCGUCUUAACCUGUGAUACGACACGUUUGUAUUCGCCUCAUAAAUGAGUAACUCGUUUAUGACAAGAAUCCGUUUAACAUCAACCCGAAUCCAUCUAUUUCGUGUGUUAGGCAACUCGUGUUCGCGUGUCAUGAACCAUUUUGACACCCCUAGUAUGACUUGUAUCAAAAAAUGCACACACACUAUUAAUGUAAUUUCCAAUAGUGAUAAUAAUUUUGAGAAUUAAACUGAUUAUAUUGAAAUAAGAAAUUAAGUAUUUUUUUUAUUUUAUGUUUAUGAUUUAUUAUAAAUGAUUGUGUAUUUAUUUGAAAUAUUAAUAUAUUAUAUUUAUUUAGUGUAGUGUGUGUCCUAAGCGUGUGGAUGUCCUACUUUUUAAAAAAUUGUCAUAUAGCGUAUAUUCUCAUAUCUCGUGUCCUGUGUCAGUGCAACUUAGCUCUUGGUUUAUGAGACUACUCCAUAUACCAAGCUAAUCAACCAAGGUUUUUUUUAUUACCAAGAAAAAAUGAAUGUGUUUUUUUAAAUUUGUUUUUGUGUCUUUUUUUUUAUUAAUGAAUGAUCAUAAAAAAUAAGAAUGAACUAAAUUCUUUUUUGGAAAAAACUUAUGUUACUUUUUUUUUUGGGUUUUAAAAGUAAAAUAAAAUUAAUUUUUCUCUACAAAUUUAUUUUUAUAGUUUUUUUAUUUUCUUUCCAAUUUGAAGAUAAAAUUAUCAGAAUUCUUUUCCAAUUUAUAGUUUUUACUUUUUAAUAUUAGUUUUCUUUUCUUUUCUUUUCUUUUUCCCUCUUACAUUACAUUAUCUGAAAAUAUAAAACAAUUUAUCUUUAUACAAUUGCUGUCAUUACAACUUAUCUUCUUACAACUAUGCUAAAUAAUUGUGUUCCUUACACUUGUCAAUUUGAGAGACUUACACUUGGCUAUCAUUUAAGAUAGACUUAUCUACUUUUAUAUAUUACUAGUGUAAGAAGCAACACGAUGCGCGGAGCAAUAUUAAAAGUGAAAUAAUAUUUUAUAGCAUCAUUCAAAAUAGUAAAAUUAUAUAAUAAAAUAAUAAAUUGUAUCUCGUGUCUCGUGUUCAUGCAACCUAACUUCUGAUAUUUGAAACUACUCCAUACACCAUGCUAAUCAACCAAGUUUUUUGUUAUUACCAAUAAAAAUGAAGUUUUUUUUUAAUUUGUUUUUGUGUUAUUGAAAUAAGAAAUUAAGUAUUUUUUUCAUUUUAUGUUUAUAAUUUAUUAUAAAUGAUUGUUUAUUUAUUUGAAAUAUUAAUGUAUUACUUAUUUAGAGUAGUAUGUUGUCACGACCCAUUUCCGUGGGCCGGACCGGCACUAGGACUUAGGUGGGCUUAAGGCCCCCGAAGCCCGUAGUAAGCCUGUAUUACUUAAGACUCGCAUGCUAUUCACAAUUGUGGAUUCAGGCCCAAUAAUUUAUUUCACAAGUAUUUCCAAAGUACAAUCUAAAUAAUACAUGUCUAUUCUCUAUUUAUUCAUUUACACCCCAGUUGGAAUACAAUUGCGAAACUCUCCUCCAUAAUUCCCUAUCCUAUGCAUUUACAUAUUCGAUCCAAUGAUUAUUACUCCUAUCGAUCCGUAUCUCGUUCGUACGAUUGGACUCCAAGCUUCUUCUUUCCAUCUAUUACCUGGGGAGGUUGGAGGGGGGGUGAGUACUAGACUCAGUGCGUAGGGUUAGAUAACCCUCUCAUCCCACACAAUCACACAGAUGCUAAAAAUAUUUUUAUCUGGUCACCGAUAAAUUUUUUGAUUAUGCAGUUUGUCACACAAAUGGCAAUACAGUAGCAAUCACAAGUAUUAUCACCUUCAUGUAAUCAUAUCACGUGGAAAUUAGUCAGUGGAGUCACUGAAACCCGAUGAGCCGUCCUCCUACAUGGCCUCACAUGUGCACCAAGGAGCCAAUCCCCCAUUCUGGCUGGCCGGUAUAAUCCUCACACGACCGGUCCUCUCAUUAUUUUGCCAUUCAAAUAAAAUUGUUUAAAUUUGCUUCUGUUAAGUCCGUGUUGACGGCACCUUUCUCUUCUCCCUCCACACUCUGACUUAAUUCUGGGGAUCCCAGAUUAAGGUUGCAGGAACCUUAAACCUAUACUUGUGUUUUGUUAUAUGAUAUUUUGUUUUGUUGUUUGUGAUCCUGUUGUUUGAUUUUGUUGGUAUCAGAGCCAUCCCUUUUAACCUUCUAGCAAUUCUCAAAUAUAAAGCAUCCAUUUGAAAAUAUCAUAAAUAGUUUUGGGUAUGCCAACUGAACCCGUGAAUAGCGAUAUGUUGGGCGUAGAAAGGGUAUAACAGGCAGUGACCGCAACUUGUUUGAUAUUAUACAAUGGAUCCUUUAUUGUGUAGGUCAGCUAGUAGUGUUAAAUCGGAUGAUUCUGAAUCUUCAGAAAUAAAGAGAGUAAUUAAUAGAAAUGAAUUAAUUUUACAAGAUUUUAGUAAAGCAAUUGAUGAAUGGGAAAUACCUAAAGUUGAUAAAGAACAAAUAUAUAAAGUUUCUAAAUUUAAUUUAUGGAAAACUGACUAUGUAAUAAAAACAGAAGAAAGAGAUUUUCAAUUAAGUAAACCUUUUGAAAGAAUAACUCUUUUAUCUUCUAAAACUUUGCAACAUCAUAAAAAAAAAUAUAAGUAUAUUCAUAUAGGAUUAAUCCAAGUAGGUAUAAAACCUUUAACUCGAGAGGGAUUAAAUACUAGUAUAUUAGCAGUAGUAAGAGAUGCUAGAUUUUUAAAUUUUCAAGAUUCUUUGCUAGGAUCAGUUGAGACCAGUUUAAGUGAAGGACCCAUAUCCUUUGAAGUAUACCCAGAUAUGACUAUCUCAUUAAAUGAUGUAAACAUUUUAGAAAAUAUGGUUUUGGAAAUUAAAACUCAUAAUUAUAAAAUGAAACAAGGAUCAAUUCCUAUAGCAUUGAUAUAUAAAAUUCAUUAUAAAGCAAUGAAUUCGGCUUUUGGUACUAAAUAUAAAUUACAACCUAAAAUAGGAGAGACAAGAUUCUUACAGACAGAUUUAACUAAAACUAAUACUGUAAUUCCUAAAACCAUUCAAUGGAAAGACAUCACAUUACCAGAAGAAUGGAUCUUAGAAGGAAUAG
rnacentral:lncRNA from 1 species